CUUACCGAUGGCGACCGGCGCACGGGUGAGUAACGCGUAUCCAACCUGCCGAUAACUCGGGGAUAGCCUUUCGAAAGAAAGAUUAAUAUCCGAUAGGAUAUCAAGGUCGCAUGAUCUUGAUAUUAAAGAAUUUCGGUUAUCGAUGGGGAUGCGUUCCAUUAGUUAGUUGGCGGGGUAACGGCCCACCAAGACGACGAUGGAUAGGGGUUCUGAGAGGAAGGUCCCCCACAUUGGAACUGAGACACGGUCCAAACUCCUACGGAAGGCAGCAG
rnacentral:rRNA from 1 species